rnacentral:rRNA from 1 species
UACGUAGGAGGCAAGCGUUGUCCGGAAUUACUGGGCGUAAAGCGCGCGCAGGCGGCUCGUCAAGCCUGACGUGAAAGCCCCCGGCUCAACCGGGGAGGGUCGUCGGGGACUGGCGGGCUUGAGGUCGGCAGGGGUUGGUGGAAUUCCCGGUGUAGUGGUGAAAUGCGUAGAGAUCGGGAGGAACACCCGUGGCGAAGGCGGCCAACUGGGCCGGACCUGACGCUGAGGCGCGAAGGCGUGGGGAGCGAACGGG